UUUAUUACUACUUAAUUGUACGGAUGGGACUGAGGAGUGUUAAUUUAAAAAGACGUAUUCAUAGCAAAACUGCAUGUUUAUUACUGACAUUUAAAUAUAAGGCUUAUAAGGUACACAACAUACCUAUA